CCUACGGGAGGCUGCAGUGAGGAAUAUUGGUCAAUGGCCGGAAGGCUGAACCAGCCAUGCCGCGUGAAGGUCAGUGCCCUAUGGGCGUUAAACUUCUUUUGUGCGGGAGCAAUAAUGGUCACGUGUGGCCAGACGAGAGUACCGUACGAAUAAGCAUCGGCUAACUACGUGCCAGCAGCCGCGGUAAUACGUAGGGGGCGAGCGUUAUCCGGAUUUACUGGGUGUAAAGGGAGCGUAGACGGUUCUGCAAGUCUGAAGUGAAAGCCCGUGGCUUAACCGCGGAACGGCUUUGGAAACUGUGGAACUGGAGUGCUGGAGAGGCAAGCGGAAUUCCUAGUGUAGCGGUGAAAUGCGUAGAUAUUAGGAGGAACACCAGUGGCGAAGGCGGCUUGCUGGACAGUAACUGACGUUGAGGCUCGAAAGCGUGGGGAGCAAACAGGAUUAGAUACCCGGGUAGUC
rnacentral:rRNA from 1 species